GGGCGAGUUUGGGUUUGCUGAUUUAGGGGGUUGGUUUGGCCCGGGAGGCCGGCACACAGGUGCCGCCGGGCAAAAAAAAAAGGGCUUGGGUGUCGCGCCCCAAGCCGAAGCCCGUUCCACGCCGUCAGGGUUUCCACGCAGUUGGGCGGCAAGUUUGCCGAACGAUAGCGUUCGUGCACAGGUCGUUGUCGCCGGGCUGUGUGCACCACACGCGCAGCCCACUUCGUGGUGCAUGGGCUCGCAGACUAUCCACUUCUACCCACUCUUUU